rnacentral:tRNA from 1 species
GGGGUUAUAGCUCAGCUGGUCAGAGCGCUACGUUGACAUCGUAGAGGUCAUUGGUUCGAUCCCAAUUAAUCCCACCA